CUGUACAUACUGUACUUGGCCCGUUGAAGAACGCCUUCCACUGUAUGUUGAAAACAUCUGGUGGUUGACCUGGAAUGCGACUGGCUCCCGAUGCUGGUUCACCCUGUUCUAAUGGCCCGUAGCCUGUCCAUGCAAGCAUCCAUCUGGUGAUGCUCCUUGGUGAGCUCCCGAGUCGAUCCAUCGUUGAUCCGUCUGGAAUGUCUCCAUACACGGCCUUGAAUGGUGGGUAUCCGGUGGACGAGAGAUUUGCUGAGUUCAUCGCGAGCUCGAUGACAGGUACAGUUGGCCGAGAUCCCAGUUCUGUCUGUGACAAAGUGCUGCUUCAUCUUUGGAUCAGCUAGGUGUUCGCUCUUUCUGACUGUCUGGGGUGGUUGACCGUGAAGAGCUCGAGCUCCGUGUCCAGGCGUGCCUGCAACGUCUGCCAUAGCUUCGCCGGGAAUUGCUUGUCUCUGUCCGACACGCCCAGAACGAGCUACCUCGUGAUACCGCAUGAUUCCGUCGAGGUACAUGUCCGCCAGAUCUUCCAGACAUGCAGACUGCCAAACUGGAGGAGUCGCACCUUUCGCGGACAGAGACCAGACCAGAUACAGCCUGUUGAAAGACAUUGAGGAUCAGGACACACCAGGCUACAAUAAAGAGCUGACCACCGCAAUGGUAGGAUGCCUUGCAAACAUAGAUGAUACUGCGCGCGCCGACGAUAUGCUGAUGGGCAGGUACAUAUUAUAUAUAAUAUAGUUACACG
rnacentral:misc_RNA from 1 species